UAAUUUUCUCUUUAUGUAGGAUCAGAAUAUAUCAGCGAUGUAUAAUCGUGACAAUUUGAAGUCCAUAGACGCACAUCCAACAGAGCCAUGGAUUUUAACAGGUCAUAUAAGUGGAUAUGCUCGCGUAUGGGACUAUGAGAUGACGUACCCGACGAAUUUUUUUGAAGUGUCCGACAAUGCAGUAAUGGUCGUCAAAUUUAUUGCAAGAAAGGAAUGUAUUGUAGCUUUGACAUCUGAUGGUAACCUUCAUGUGUAUGACUGUCCGUGUGUCACAAAAAUUGAAAAGACUACACAUGUUAAACCUGUUAGUGGCUGUUCGGUACUAGCUGUUCAUCCAACUUUACCAUCAGUGUUGUCAGCGUCCAAUACUGGCCUAAUAGUUUUAGACUGGGACCAGGCCUGGGAGCAGACACAAGAAUUUCAGACUUAUAAUAACCCAGGGUCAGUGGCAUUUAACCCUGGGGACGACAAAUGUUUCACGGGUGGGUUUC
rnacentral:rRNA from 1 species